UACGAAGGUGGCUAGCGUUGCUCGGAAUCACUGGGCGUAAAGCGCACGUAGGCGGAUUUUUAAGUCAGGGGUGAAAUCCUGGAGCUCAACUCCAGAACUGCCUUUGAUACUGGGAAUCUCGAGUCCGGGAGAGGUGAGUGGAACUGCGAGUGUAGAGGUGAAAUUCGUAGAUAUUCGCAAGAACACCAGUGGCGAAGGCGACUACCUGGCCUGUUUCUUGACGCUGAGGCGCGAAAGCUAGGGGAGCAAACGGG
rnacentral:rRNA from 1 species